CUUUGGAUUGUGAAAAAGAAAACACUUCGCACGCAGGAUUGUGUUGCUGCCCUUUGACAGAAAAGAGGUAUAUAAGGACUUCAUGGAAUUCACCAACAUUGAGCCAUUGAAGAUCCUGAAGCAUUCAAGUACAAGAUGACAAAGCUUAGAAAAGUGUGUUGUCUUUUUCACCAUUGGCCUGCCUUGCAGAGUUACUUCAGUUCCCAUGACGAUGUUGAGAAACCAGACAGAUGAAGCGAUGUACAUCAUAUAUUAAAGACAACAACAAUGAACAUGUAUAUGUGCAUCAGCUUCCCAAGUUUCAUUAUUCAUCCACUUAAUGAUUUUUCCAGGCUGAUGAAGUUAAGAUUUGGUACUGGAGGGACAUCAAAGAUGCUGGCCAAAUUUCUUUUCAAGGAUAUGUUGGUAUCCAACCUUGGCUUCUUAAAUCCAGCAAAUGGAGGAGAUCUACCACGAACUGCCCUUACUGUGCUAGCACAGAGAUUCACUUCCUUGGUGCCCAUGGAUCAGUGGGAACAAAGGGAAGAGGAAUUCAUGGAUUACCAAACAACUCCUGCUCUGGACCUCCCAAGUUUUGUGGAAAACACAAGAAAAGAUGUCUCCUGCAUGGGAUAGGAUUCUGGACAAAAGAAAUAACCUCACCAAGACACCAAGGUUUCCAGUGAUGAUUGAUUGAUCUUAUGUUGUUUAACAUCCCUCUCAAGAAUGUUUCACUCACGUGGAGACGCCACCACUUGCCGGUGGAGAACUGCAAAUUUUGUCCUAUACUCGACAUUAAGGGCUAUUGAGCAAGGAGGGUUCUUUUUUUGUGCCAGCAUCUACUGCGACACAGGACUUCGGUUAGUACGGUCUCAUCCAAAGCACCGGUCUCCACAUCCCAUAGUGGGAUUGUAACCCGUUACAUAAGGAUCAACUCCAUAAUUCGUGAGUCGAGAGCAGUUUCCAGUAAUAGUCAAAGCAAUGCUUUAAUAUUGUGCCUAACUCCAAUGCUGGAUGUGAAUUAGUCUUCUCUAUGGUGAAGAAAAUACAGACAGAGACCCCUGCUAAUUUGGACAAUAAAACAAUCAGUGCCCUACUUACCACUAAAUUAAAAACAGUGUAAUCUUGUUAAACCAUGAAAGGACUUUCUCCAGUCUGACGUACAGCAAAAAGGCUUGUGUUUCAUAUAACAAGGAUUUUAGUUCUUUUAAAAGUAGUGAUUAACUCUUAGGCUGUUUGUGUCUUGACUGUUGACUGAAAAUAUUCUUAAACUGAAUUUUAAUAGUGCACACUGGCAGAUCUAGAGGGGAGGGACUGGACUUCUCUCCUCCUUUUUUCCGAGAGAGAGAGGGGGGAGAGAUGUUUUUCUGUAAUAGGUAUUUCUGCGUUAAAUAUGUUAAAAUAAAUAAUCCCAAUCUGUGCCUUUUCUGCUCACAAGAAAGAGUAUUGCGUAUUGCUUUGUUUAUACAAUGUAGAUGCCCGUUGUACCUCCAUUGACUUGGUUACGGGCUCCGACCACCCACACAAUGUCGCUUGAAACUUAAAAGGAUGUCACAAAGGAUUUUCAUUUACAUGUAUAAGUUCUUGAAAGAAAAAUGAUCUUCUUAAUUACCAUACUAGUAACAUGCAAGGUUUCAACAUCGGAAGAUUCUGGCGAAACUUUGGCGAUAACAUUUUUGGACAAUCUUCUAAAGUACUAGUAACUUACUUACAGGAAUAUGCAAGAAAAGGUUAUGAUAAGGAGUAUGCUAAAGAUAAAUAUUUUCUCCAUAUAGUAUGAAAUUAUUUUAGUCAAUGAAGAUAAAAGUUAUAAAACGCACCCAUAAUACGCGGAAGGGGGAGGCUUACUUUUCUGAGAGUAAUCUUAUGCUGAAUGUACUUUAAAGGUCAAGAUCUAGUAAAUGAAAGAUGCCUACAGAUUUUAUAAAAUUUGAGAAAUUAAUUUCUUUAAUGAUGCUUUAUAACUUUAGCUUGGUCAAAUAAGGUGUUUCGGGGCAUAAUUUCUAAGAAAACAAGUUGAAAAAUCAUAUUUUAAACUGUCAUUUUCAUAGAGAAAUUAUGCGUGUGGUGUGAUUC